GCGCCUGCUCCGGGGAGCCCUGGGCCGCACAACGCGGCACGGGCUGAGACAUGGCGAUGAAGCCGUGGACCCGCUGAACUUGAUCCGGUUCGUACCGGCGUAAGAAGAGCCUGCCCCUCGCGC
rnacentral:ncRNA from 1 species